CAAUUAUACCGUGAAACUGCGAAUGGCUCAUUAAAUCAGUUAUCGUUUAUUUGAUAAUACCUUACUACUUGGAUAACCGUGGUAAUUCUAGAGCUAAUACAUGCUGAAAAUCCCGACUUCGGAAGGGAUGUGUUUAUUAGAUAAAAAACCAAUGCCCUUCGGGGCUUUUUGGUGAUUCAUGAUAACUUUACGGAUCGCAUAGCCUUGCGCUGGCGACGGUUCAUUCAAAUUUCUGCCCUAUCAACUUUCNAUGGUAAGGUAUUGGCUUACCAUGGUUU
rnacentral:rRNA from 1 species